AAAAAAAAUCACAUCACAGGUCCGGUUUCACACCUUAUUUAUUCACGGCCUGAACAUGUUUUACCAGCAAAAUCUGUCACAUUUACCCAUGGCGUACAAAAAUCAAUCUCAUUCAUGUCAUUCACUGUAGAAAUUAAAUGCAUCAUUUACAAAAAUGUGAGAAAUAAAACCCCAAUAGAAAUUUUGCAACCACGAGAAUAUCAGCGGCAACCUUUUCAGCAUCUGAUUGCAGACAUUUUUCAGGUGAGGGUUGUAGAGCUCAUUUCAAUUCAAACCCAACUCCAAAACUGCAAACGAAUAUUAAAAGGAACCAGUCUGCUGGAUUGUGUGAAUGAAGACUGCAUUUGACAUUCAGAAACUUGAAACUUAA